rnacentral:rRNA from 1 species
GAUGAACGCUGGCGGCGUGCCUAAUACAUGCAAGUCGAGCGAACAGGCGAGGAGCUUGCUCCUCUGACGUUAGCGGCGGACGGGUGAGUAACACGUGGAUAACCUACCUAUAAGACUGGUAUAACUUCGGGAAACCGGAGCUAAUACCGGAUAAUAUAUUGAACCGCAUGGUUCAAUAGUGAAAUACGGUUGUGCGGUCACUUAUAGAUGGAUCCGCGCUGCAUUAGCUAGUUGGUAAGGUAACGGCUUACCAAGGCAACGAUGCGUAGCCGACCUGAGAGGGGGAUCGGCCACACUGGAACUGAGACACGGUCCAGACUACUACGGGAGGCAGCAGUAGGGAAUCUUACGCAAUGGGCGAAAGCUUGACGGAGCAACGGCGCGUGAGUGAUGAAGGUCUUCGGAUCGUAAAACUCUGUUAUUAGGGAAGAACAAAUGUGUAAGUAAAUAUGCACGUCUUGACGGUACCUAAUCAGAAAGCCACGGCUAACUACGUG